CUACGGGGCGCAGCAGUAAGGAAUAUUGGGCAAUGGACGGAAGUCUGACCCAGCCAUCCCGCGUGCAGGAAGAAUGCCCUAUGGGUUGUAAACUGCUUUUGUUUGGGAAGAAAUGUACUUUUUCAAGAGUAUUUGACGGUACCAGACGAAUAAGCACCGGCUAACUCCGUGCCAGCAGCCGCGGUAAUACGGAGGGUGCAAGCGUUAUCCGGAAUCACUGGGUUUAAAGGGUGCGUAGGCGGCCAGAUAAGUCAGAGGUGAAAGUUUCCGGCUCAACCGGGAGAUUGCCUUUGAUACUGUUUGGCUAGAAUCAGAUUGAGGUUGGCGGAAUGUGACAUGUAGCGGUGAAAUGCAUAGAUAUGUCAUAGAACAUCGAUUGCGAAGGCAGCUGGCUGGAUCUGUAUUGACGCUGAGGCACGAAAGCGUGGGGAGCAAACAGGAUUAGAUACCCGCGUAGUC
rnacentral:rRNA from 1 species